CUUUUUUUUGGUUUUUUUGUUAUGUGCAGACAAUUGCUGGAGCCAUUGUAGUAGCUGUGAUCCUUCAUAUUGGAGACCAUCUUGCUUGUGAUUUCCCUAGAAUUGUUAGAGCCACCGAAUACGAUUACAAU
rnacentral:sRNA from 1 species